GGGCCACAGCUCAGUGGUAGAGUCUCUGCCUUGCAUACAGAAGGUCCCAGGUUCAAUCCUUGUCAUCUCCA